GAUGAGCGCUUUCCUGUUUGCUUAUUGAGCGUGGUUUUAGUGCCAGCAUCGGUCUGUGUUUUGGUAUGUAGACAGCUAUGGCAAAUAAAGAUGAAAACUCUAAAGGUAGAUAGUGUGGUCAUGAGAUACUCUACCUCAGGCAAAACCUAGAGACUUCCUUAGACAUUGUCCACCAGCUGUUGUUCACAUAUAUGCAUAGGCCCAGCCCUGUGUCUUACCAGAGGCUGCUGUUCUGUCCUGCUGAUGGAGUGUAUAACCUGCCAGCUGUAUGUUCUUAAUGUCGUCGUUCAGCCACGGCUCGGUGAAACAUAAGAUUUUACAGUUUUUAAUGUCCUGUUGGUAGGAUAUACGUGAUUUCAGUUCGUCCCAUUUAUUUUCCAGCAAUUGAACAUUAGCUAGCAGGAUGGAAGCGAAUCCCGAGGGACCUCGGUCUGGUCGGGUGUUUAUUGUAGUAUAUCCCUCCUGUCUGAAGAAGAAGAAGAACUCUUCGUCCAGUUUGAGGUACAGUGCCUUGCGAAAGUAUUCGGCCCCCUUGAACUUUGCGACCUUUUGCCACAUUUCAG